UCCCCACGUCGCCGGUCCCUACGUCAUCUCCCUCAACCUCCCAUCCUGAGGCGCACCCCCACCUCCCUCCCUUCCCCCUGCAUUCAAUCCCGCGUUGCUGCAAGGUGGGAGGCUUCAGGGGGGCGAACUCCUGGGCUGGGCAUAGGAAACCCGGUUGGGGGAACGGGGUCCCGGAUUCGGGGCACGUGCACAUGGGCGAAGGAGCUGUUGAAAAUACGGCCACAAUCUUUUUCUGCUCUCCUCCCAACUCAUACUGCCCCCUCCCUACCUUUGAACAGUCGCCUUCCAACACAAGCAACAAUAAAGAUCGCGAGUCAAAUGAAAGCAGUGGACCCUCUGCUAUGAAAAAUGCACGUGAGGACUAAGUUUUGCAUCUAGUUUCAAAGGUGCCCAUGAAGGUCAAAUAAGCCAAUGUAUUCAGAAGUACUUUAAAGGAGAAGUGUUGUAUAAAUAUGGGAAGGACUGUGCCAGAAGCUGGGGACAGAAAUCCCAGGCAGUGGAACCUGCUGACUCGGCGUCUACAGAAGCCACUUUCAUCUUGGAUGAAAGCUAUGGGGUGAAGUUUUUAUUGGAUAGUGAAAGGGACGAAGUUUGGUCUCGAGACUGCCGGCGGAAAGAUCCAUGGUGUUUCCAAACCGGAGUGAAAGGAAGAACAAAGCUGGGCUGCAGUAUGACAGAUGAUGGGCAUCUGUCCUCCUGGUUCCCAUGGGUAAGGGAGCACCCAGAGGGAGAUGCUCUGUGGCUGCCCUUACCCCCUUCUCCUCAAUAUCACUCAACUCCCCUGACUCUUUCCUACAUCUGGGUCCUCACCAUCACGCCAUCAGCCAGGCAUGUGCCACAGUCAGCCCUGUGGGUGCAGCUGUCCCCCAGGGGGUGGCCCAGGGGGCUGCUUCUUCGCCUGGGCUGGCCUCCCCAUCUGCUGGCUGUCUCUCCUCACCCUGCCUCCAGCCUGCGCCUCUGGCCUCCUCCUCCUCCUUGGACCCCAUCUCAUACCUCCUCUACUUUCCUGCUUUGGGGCUUGAAAUAGCCUUACAACCAAGAUCUGAAAGAGAAAGAAAGCCCAUCCUCACCCCCUUGUCAAAAGUUCUGGGGCACCUGGGGGGCUCAGUCGGUUAACUGUCUGACUUUGGCUCAGGUCACGAUCU